rnacentral:rRNA from 1 species
GAUGAACGCUGGCGGCGUGCCUAAUACAUGCAAGUCGAGCGAACAGACGAGGAGCUUGCUCCUCUGACGUUAGCGGCGGACGGGUGAGUAACACGUGGAUAACCUACCUAUAAGACUGGGAUAACUUCGGGAAACCGGAGCUAAUACCGGAUAAUAUAUUGAACCGCAUGGUUCAAUAGUGAAAGACGGUUUUGCUGUCACUUAUAGCUGGAUCCGCGCCGCAUUAGCUAGUUGGGAAGGUAAAGGCUUACCAAGGCUACGAUGCGUAGCCGACCUGAGAGGGGGAUCGGCGACACUGGAACUGAGACACGGUCCAGAGUCCUACGGGAGGCAGCAGUAGGGAAUCUGCCGCAAUGGGCGAAAGCCUUACGGAGCAACGCCGCGUGAGUGAUGAAGGUGUUCGGAUCGUAAAACUCUGUUAUUAGGGAAGAACAAAUGUGUAAGUAACUAUGCACGUCUUGACGGUACCUAAUCAGAAAGCCACGGCUAACUACGUG